rfam:Synechococcus sp. MIT S9508 MITS9508_contig000005, whole genome shotgun sequence.
AUUGGACUACCUGGUUGGUGACAGCCUUUCUCUAGUGCUCUGAUCUGACUCUCUUUCGACUUGGGGUGACUGUCGUGAAGGUGCCGUAAACCGGCCUUGUAGCCGGAAACGAAUCCUCACUUUGUUGCCCCUUCUGGUAACUCCAGGUCGAACACUGGGGCUCGCACGGUCAGGUGGUCCACCC